GAAGAAUUUUCAAAACUUGCGAGGAAUAUAAUUCUUCAUAUAUUUCUUGGGCAUAUUAAUGAUCAUGAGUUAAUCAAAUUCAAUAAUGACAUAUAUAUAGGGUAAAUUAUUAUUAAUAUGACCAUAGAACUCAGCAUAAGCCUUUUCCAUGCUACCUAAUGAUUUCUAUGGACUCCACCUCCUCAUAAUUUAGCUUACCAAGGUGAUGAUCAGUAGCUGGUCCGAGAGGAUGAUCAGCCAUACUGGGACUGAGACACAGCCCAGACUCCUACAGGAGGCAGCAGUAGGAAAUUUUUCGCAAUGGGUGAAAGCCUGACGGAGCAAUACCGCAUGGAGGUAAAAGGCCCACGGAUCGUGAACUUCUUUUCCCGGAGAAGAAGCAAUGAUGGUAUCUGGGGAAUAAGCAUCGGCUAACUCUGUGCCAGCAGCCACGGUAAUACAAACUCA
rnacentral:ncRNA from 1 species